rnacentral:rRNA from 1 species
UGAAUUUAAGCAUAUAAGUAAGCGGAGGACAAGAAACUAAACAGGAUCCCCAUAGUAAUGGCGAAUGACCCGGGAUAAACUCAGCAUGGAAAUUGGGGCCUUUGGCUUUGACUUGUAAUCUGGUGAGGCAUUGCCAACAGAGGCGCAUAUGUAAGUCUCUUGGAAAAGAGCAUCAACGAAGGUGAGAGUCCUGAUUGUCAUGUGCAGCCCCCCUGUGCACGGUGUGCCUUCUAAGAGUCACGUUCCUUGGGAUUGGAGCGCAAAUUGGGUGGUAGCUUUCAUCUGAAGUUAAACAAUGGUUUGGGACCGAUAGGAAACAAGUACCAUGAGGGAAAGGUGAAAAGGACUUUGGAAAGAGAGUUAAAAGUGCCUGAAAUUGCUGAAGGGGAAGCGAAUGGAACCAGUGGUGCUGGGUGAGAUUGUCACAUGCUGCAAGGAUUGGUUGCUGCCACAACGCAAGUGUGCUGGCAAUUUGUGAACUGCUAGUGUGUGGUGUGUCUUACCUAGUGGGUCAUUGUGGGUUUAUGCAUUAAGAUAAAUCAAAGCAAGCGGGAGCAAGUUUACGAGUUUGUGAAUGUGUGUUGUUAUGCUUGUGCGUAAGCUUUAGUGUUUGUCUGGCUGCAGGGCUGUCCAUCCUCAAGCUUUGCUGUGGUUGCGAUGAGCAUAACCUUCUGCACAGAUCUUGACAAAAUGGUUUCAUUCGACCCGUCUUGAAACACGGACCAAGGAGU